rnacentral:rRNA from 1 species
GAUGAACGCUGGCGGCGUGCCUAAUACAUGCAAGUCGAGCGAACGGAUAAGGAGCUUGCUCCUUUGAAGUUAGCGGCGGACGGGUGAGUAACACGUGGGUAACCUACCUAUAAGACUGGAAUAACUUCGGGAAACCGGGGCUAAUGCCGGAUAACAUUUGGAACUGCAUGGUUCUAAAGUAAAAGAUGGUCUUGCUAUCACUUAUAGAUGGACCCGCGCCGUAUUAGCUAGUUGGUAAGGUAACGGCUUACCAAGGCAACGAUACGUAGCCGACCUGAGAGGGUGAUCGGCCACACUGGAACUGAGACACGGUCCAGACUCCUACGGGAGGCAGCAGUAGGGAAUCUUCCGCAAUGGACGAAAGUCUGACGGAGCAACGCCGCGUGAGUGAUGAAGGUUUUCGGAUCGUAAAACUCUGUUAUUAGGGAAGAACAAAUGUGUAAGUAACUGUGCACAUCUUGACGGUACCUAAUCAGAAAGCCACGGCUAACUACGUGCCAGCCGCCGCAGUAA